GAAUUUUAUAUAAUUUUGUUAAAAUUAAUUAAUUUAGAUAAAUAAUAAAUUUAUAUUUUGUUGGGAGGAUAAUUAAAUUAAAUAAACUUUAAUAAUAUAAAAAUCAUUAAUUUAUGAUUAAUAAAAAUGAGUGAUUAUUAUAAUUAAAUAGAAUUAAUUACCUUAGGGAUAACAGCGUAAUAUCUUUAGAGAGAUCUUAUUAAUAAAGAUGUUUGU
rnacentral:rRNA from 2 species